GUAAAUAUAGUUUAUUCAAAACACUAGACUGUGACUCUAGAAAUAGAAGCCCUACCUUCUUAUUUACC
rnacentral:tRNA from 1 species